AGGAUCAUUCACAAACGAGUGUUUUAUGGCACCUCUUUAAAAAUCCAUAUCCACCUUGUGUGCAAUGUCAGUCGAUCUUCUUCUUGGAGAUCGACCAAACAUCAACCUUUAUCUUUUAACUCUUUGUCUGAAAAAUAUUAUGAAUAAACAAUUCAAAAUACAACUUUCAACAACGGAUCUCUUGGCUCUCGCAUCGAUGAAGAACGCAGCGAAAUGCGAUACGUAAUGUGAAUUGCAGAAUUCAGUGAAUCAUCGAAUCUUUGAACGCAUAUUGCGCUCUUUGGUAUUCCGAAGAGCAUGCUUGUUUGAGUAUCAGUAAACACCUCAACCUCCUCUUGUUUUUUUCAAAAGGAGGGUGGACUUGAGCUAUCCCAACAACCUUCACCGGUAGGCGGGCGGCUUGAAAUGCAGGUGCAGCUGGACUUUUAUCUGAGCUAAAAGCAUAUCUAUUUAGUCCUCGUCAAACAGGAUUAUUACUAUUGCUGCAGCUAACAUAAAGGAUAAUUGUCCUCAUUGCUGACUGAUGCAGGAUUUUACGACACUUUAUGUGUUGUUCAACUCGAUCUCAAAUCAAGUAAGACUACCCGCUGAACUUAA
rnacentral:rRNA from 1 species